rnacentral:rRNA from 1 species
UACGAAGGGGGCGAGCGUUGUUCGGAUUUACUGGGCGUAAAGGGCGCGCAGGCGGUUCUGUUUGUCGAGUGUGAAAGCCCCGGGCUCAACCUGGGAACUGCGCUCGAAACGGCAGAACUAGAGUUCGGGAGAGGAGAGUGGAAUUCCCGAGUGUAGAGGUGAAAUUCGUAGAUAUUGGGAAGAACACCGGUGGCGAAGGCGGCUCUCUGGACCGAUACUGACGCUGAGGCGCGAAAGCGUGGGGAGCAAACAGGAUUAAGAAACCCC